CCUCUCUAUUCUCGUACCGUCUUCGUUCUUUCAUCGGACUCUCCGAAUCUUCUCUGCUGAAAUCCCUAAACCCUUCUUCUCCUCCCAAUUCUUCAUCCUCUUCCUCUUCUUCUUCCUCUCCACUGAAUUUCUCAUCUCCUUGCUCUACACCAUCGUUUCUCGUCGCCCAAUUCGACCUAACUCGCUUCGCCGAAGCUGUAUUCGUCGUCGUCGUCGCCG